rnacentral:rRNA from 1 species
CCUACGGGCGGCAGCAGUGGGGAAUAUUGGACAAUGGGGGCAACCCUGAUCCAGCCAUGCCGCGUGUGUGAAGAAGGCCCUCGGGUUGUAAAGCACUUUCAGUGAGGAAGAACGCCUGGUGGUUAAUACCCAUCAGGAAAGACAUCACUCACAGAAGAAGCACCGGCUAACUCCGUGCCAGCAGCCGCGGUAAUACGGAGGGUGCGAGCGUUAAUCGGAAUUACUGGGCGUAAAGCGCGCGUAGGUGACUUGAUAAGCCGGUUGUGAAAGCCCCGGGCUCAACCUGGGAACGGCAUCCGGAACUGUCAAGCUAGAGUGCAGGAGAGGAAGGUAGAAUUCCCGGUGUAGCGGUGAAAUGCGUAGAGAUCGGGAGGAAUACCAGUGGCGAAGGCGGCCUUCUGGACUGACACUGACACUGAGGUGCGAAAGCGUGGGUAGCAAACAGGAUUAGAUACCCUGGUAGUC